rnacentral:rRNA from 1 species
CCCUUAGAUGUCCGGGGCUGCGCGCGCGCUACACUGAAGGAAUCAGCGUGCUAAAACCAUUGUCGAAAGGCAUUGGUAAACCCAUUAAAAUCCUACGUGAUUGGGAUCGGGAAUUGCAAUUAUUUCCCUUGAACGAGGAAUUCCCAGUAAGUGUGGGUCAUAAGCUCGCGUUGAUUACGUCCCUGCCCUUUGUACACACCGCCCGUCGCUGCCCGGGACUGAGCCGUUUCGAGAAAAGCGGGGACUGCUGCUGUCGGGGCUUUCGGGCCUUGGCUUCGGUGGAAACCGCUUUAAUCGCAGUGGCUUGAACCGGGCAAAAGUCGUAACA